AUACACAUCCGAUGAGGUACUAAAAAGAAAACGGAAUUUUGCAAUAUUAUUUUAUUCACUUGGUUUUACAUCUUUGCACUUUGAUCGCCUUCAAAGUAUUCUCCAUUUGAAGCAAUGCAUCGGUCCAGAUGCGUUUUCCAUUGUUCGAAGCAGUCCUGAAACUCUCGCGAAGUGAUGCCUUUUAACGUCUCCGUCGUUUUUUUCUUCACCUCUUACACAUCUGCAAAUUCCGUAGCACCAGCUUUUGUCACCA